UUUGGGACAAAAAGUUUCUCGACGUACGUGGCACGUCAUUCCAGCGCAAGAGGUGUUACUAGCCAACAAUUAUUGGAGAUUUUGAGAAACUGAGUAACCUUUGAAGAUAGUUUGAACGGUGAACGAUUGACACAGGGGCAGGAUCGAUCAUUCACCGGGGGCCUGACGGCAAAUCGAGUGGUAAAAUCGAUUAGCCGCGUCGACGGGAAUCCAUUCGCAGGAAAUCGACUGCUCGGAAAUCCAAAUGGUGCAUCGAGCAUGAAACCGAUCCAAUUUCAAAGAUUCCUUGGCCCAUGUCGCCCUCUAUAUAGGGCUAUCUUUCUGCACCUGCAAACUGUAUCCGACAUCCGAUACCUUUUUCUCCUGGAGGUUCCCUUCGCUUGGGAAUCUCAAGUCGAGUGGAAGAUUGUCCCUUCGUUACGAGACGAACCUUGGUGGUUCUUUCAACCUUCGUUUCACCUGCGAGAACGAGAGUUUUCCGGACUCCGUCGGUCACACGAGAACGACGAGUCUCUCCCAUUUUAUAUGGAAAAUUCUCGAUCAGGAAUCGAUCCUCUCGUUUCUUUCAAAUGAUGUUGAAUUGAAGUUGACGUGCCGUGAGACAUACAGAGAUCAUAAACGAAAGUAAUAGAUAUUUUUUGCUUGGGAAAAAGAACGUCGACGUAAAUGCUUUCUUAAGUAAUUGCGUUAUGACAUUUGAUUCGCUUCUGUAUUGCGUCAAAAACUGUUGAUUUAAUAGCUGUUUCAUGAUAUGUAUUCAAGCUACCUACACACAGUGACGCUUCGCUAAUUGGCUAGGUCGAGAUUUUACUCGACUAAUCAUCAAGGGAAAUAUGUUUCUAGGUUUUCUUUCUCUCUUGUAUUUGUAUUUAUGACGUGUGGACAUCCGCCCCCACGUCAUAAAUACUUUUCAACAACUUGCGGAGACGAAUAACAACUGUACUCUAAAGUUGCUUAUUGUUAAAUUCAUAAAAGAAACACGAAUUGCGGCGGUGCCUAUGGUUCGAAGUCGUCCAAGUGCAUUCUAAAUUACUAUACAUAAAUGUUUAUGUGAACUUACCGUUUGUGAUGAGUAAUUUAUGAUUGGUCAGAAUUUCACGCGUCAAUCUGAAACACAAGAACCGAGUACAGAGGAUACAUCUCAGGAUGGAUAUACGUGGCUCGCGGCGAGUGAACAAUAUCAGAUUGACAGACGUUUGCAGAAGCACAGCGGUGCGGAAUGAAAAUCCUCCUCGAGAUUCUCGAGAUUCCUGAAGAGGGAAGAAAGGAAAGGAGAGAAGAGUUUAAUGCGGACGAGUUAUCGAUUGUUACUGAUCCGUUCCCUUUUUUUGAUACGUUCACGAUACACUAUACAAAAACGGAUCAACGGAAGUCGUAUACUCGGUGGAUUACUGGCCACGCUGUUUCGCAAAUUUCUCAGGGACAUUCGACGAAGAAUCUCCAAGUUGACAGAGGAUUGAAAAUUCUCUAACGGUAUUACGCGGCACGCGGUGGAAAGGGUCUAAGGGGGAUUCUUCAUUUUGUUUCACGCGCUAUGGGAAUUGUGGGACGUCUUCUUCCGCCAUACGUGAUCUUCGAAGAACUACGUGAUUCAUCGAAGAACUUCUUUCCAUUUCCAUCAUCCGCACUUCCUCCGUACUUCCAUCGUGUCGUCAGGCUCUUCAGAUUCAUCUUAUUUGCAAGAUGACAUAGAAUUCUCUUCAAGAAAUCGUCUCGUACCACCUGCGCCCAAAUUACUCUAAUUACUCCAAAUCAAUCCGCAUUCCUCAUCCAUCCGGGGUCAUCGUACAAUAGAAAAUUACCAAGUGUUUCUUAUCACAAUGAGCUCGAACCAUCCUUCACGGUCGCUGAUAUGACUUUCGAUCCUCUUGAAGAGACGCGCCACCAUUUCCACGGCCGAAAUCCCUCCCCAGCGUCGAGACCUAAGCUUUAUUGCAGGGCCUACCUUUGCACCGGUGCAACAGAGCCUCGACGUCCGCGCGACGCCUUCCGGGAAACACUCGUAGCAGAACGUCGACGGGC